rnacentral:rRNA from 1 species
GACGAACGCUGGCGGCGUGCUUAACACAUGCAAGUCGAACGAUGAUGCUGGAGCUUGCUCCAGUUGAUUAGUGGCGAACGGGUGAGUAACACGUGAGCAAUCUGCCCUUGACUCCGGGAUAACUGCGGGAAACUGUAGCUAAUACCGGAUACUUUCACCGGGGGGCAUCCUCUGGUGAUGAAAGAAUUUCGGUCAAGGAUGAGCUCGCGGCCUAUCAGCUUGUUGGUGAGGUAACGGCUCACCAAGGCGACGACGGGUAACCGGCCUGAGAGGGUGACCGGUCACACUGGGACUGAGACACGGCCCAGACUCCUACGGGAGGCAGCAGUGGGGAAUAUUGCACAAUGGGCGCAAGCCUGAUGCAGCAACGCCGCGUGAGGGAUGAAGGCCUUCGGGUUGUAAACCUCUUUUAGCAGGGAAGAAGCGAAAGUGACGGUACCUGCAGAAAAAGCACCGGCUAACUACGUGCCAGCCGCCGCGGUAA